CAUGGGUGUGGAUCCAUCAUGAAUAAAUUAAUGCCUUUGCUGUUGGUGGGGGCAGGGAGCAUGGUACAGGGGUGACUGAGUUCCUGCUUUGUUAGUUCCCACUGAAACUGAUUGACAAAAAGGGCCUGGCACCUCUCUCUUCUCUCUCUUUCUCUCUCUCACCAUGUGAUCUAUGCAUGCCUGUUCCCGUCUGCUUGCACUAAGAAUGGAAACAGCCUAAGUUCCUCACCAGAAGCAGAGGCUGGCACCAUGUUUGUUAUGCAGCCUGCAGAACCACCAUCGAACUCCAAGUACUUCAGAUUUGGAACUCGGACUGCUUUCCUUGCUCCUCAGCCUGCAGAUGGCCUAUUGUGGGACCUUGUGAUUAUGUAGUGAGACGAGCAUGAGUGGAGCAGGAGACGGCUGUCCCCCACCCACAAGGAAUAUCAGAUGAUGGUUCAGCGAUCAUCACAUUGCCUCUCUGAAAGUGAUAAAUUGGCAGCUGGCACCAGGGAGAGGCUAUUUCCUGAUGGCCCACACCUGUUGCACUAAGAUGUUAAUCGAAUGCAGAUUCCAGGGAGAAACAACUUCCUGGGCAUGUGCGUAAGAGACAAAAUGGCAGGUAUGACCUUCUGGGGACACUCCACCAGAAAAGGGAAGAAAACCUCAGAUGGGCAUGCAUAUAACUUCCUAAACACACUGCUCACACUCUCCUCCCAAGGGUAAGGAGGGCACUGCACAUGCAGGCAGCCCAUCCUAAGGGAAGCAUCCUGGGAAAGGGGUCAGUCUAUAUGGUUCUGGGAUCAAGAUUAAACACCACAUUAGACCUUCAAGUUGCCCACUUGGGUCUCUUCUAUGUGUAUUUUUCUUUCCUUUCUUUUCUGCUCUAAAGCUUUUUUAAAUAAACAUACACAUCCCUCCUCUGAAACUUGCCUUGGUCUCUUUUUCUGCCAUAUGCAACUCAGUCAAAUUAUUUCUUCUGAGGAGGAAAAAAUUGAGGUAGCUGCAUUCCCAUACAGAUUCACCAUCGGUAACUCAGAUACCUUCUACUGGCCAUAUGUUUGGUGUUCUAUUCAAGAAAUAAUUGCUAAAGCCAAUGUCUUAAAGUGUUUUUCUUAUGUUUUUCUUCUAAGAGUUUUACAGUUUCAGGUCUUACACUUAAGUAUUUAAUUAAUUUGAGUUGAUUUUAUGCAUGGUGUAGGAUGUGUGUAAUAUUCAGUUUUUCUAACACUAUUUGUUGAAGAGACUAUUCUUUUUCCACUGUGUAUCCUUAGAAGCAUUGCUGAAGUGUUGUUG
rnacentral:lncRNA from 10 species